GGCUGUGUGGCCCAGCGGUUAAGGCAUCUGCUUUACAUACGUGAUAGUAUCGCAGAGGAUCGCAGGUUCGAUCCCUGCCACGGUCA